rnacentral:ncRNA from 1 species
CGAGUUUGUCGGUGUGUUGUCGAGGUUAACCCGGGUGGGGAAGGCCGUAGCGAAAGCGAGUCCGAAUAGGGCGUUUCAGUAGCACGCUCAAGACCCGAAGCGGAGUGAUCUAGCCAUGGGCAGGUUGAAGCGGAGGUAAGACUUCGUGGAGGACCGAACCCACCAGGGUUGAAAACCUGGGGGAUGACCUGUGGUUAGGGGUGAAAGGCCAAUCAAACUCCGUGAUAGCUGGUUCUCCCCGAAGUGCAUUUAGGUGCAGCGUCGUGUGUUUCUUGCCGGAGGUAGAGCACUGGAUAGGC